rnacentral:rRNA from 1 species
CCUACGGGAGGCAGCAGUGAGGAAUAUUGGUCAAUGGGCGCGAGCCUGAACCAGCCAAGUAGCGUGAAGGAUGACUGUCCUACGGGUUGUAAACCUCUUUUAUAAAGGAAUAAAGUGAGGCACGUGUGCCUUUUUGUAUGUACCUUAUGAAUAAGGAUCGGCUAACUCCGUGCCAGCAGCCGCGGUAAUACGGAGGAUCCGAGCGUUAUCCGGAUUUAUUGGGUUUAAAGGGAGCGUAGGUGGGUUGUUAAGUCAGUUGUGAAAGUUUGCGGCUCAACCGUAAAAUUGCAAUUGAUACUGGCGGUCUUGAGUACGGUUGAGGUAGGCGGAAUUCGUGGUGUAGCGGUGAAAUGCUUAGAUAUCACGAAGAACUCCGAUUGCGAAGGCAGCUUACUAAACUGCCACUGACAUUGAUGCUCGAAAGUGUGGGUAUCAAACAGGAUUAGAUACCCUGGUAGUC